UGGCAUCAGGUUUCGGUUUCUAACAGUCAGACUCAUAAAGGUUAUCUGGACUAGAAGACAGAACUUUUCCUCAGCUACAAUCGCAACAUUAUAUUAAAUCUAUAGAAACGGCAGGAACAUUCCUUAAUAUACAAAUAAAUCGCCCAUGAACACAAAAAGGUAUCACUGAAAUAUACACAUCUUUUUCCGUGUGGUCCAAACUAAACCUUAAUAGUCAAACACGACCUCACUGACCUUGAGCGUCACAUGAUUUCAUCAUGUCAGUGAAUACAGGAUGCCCACAGCUGACUGGCUGCUCACAAAUAAAAAGAUAAAAAAAGUAUCUUUAUAUUUCACCUUUAUGACUAAAUACCCUCUGAUGGUGCAAACCACACACCGUUACCACUGUUGCCAUGCAGAGAUAUCACACCACUGAUUAUUUUACAAAAAUAGUGCAUUAAAGUCUGACUGAUGAUACAAAAGCUUCAUACAAAAUGCACACAGCUGUUCACUCUUAAAAAUGGCACAAAAUACAGAGACCGGAAAUACUUAUUUGAGAAGAUAAACAUCAAAACUGCAUAUUUGUUGCAACCCUUUCACUUCAACUCUGUUAACAUGCAAAGGUCAUCCAUGAUACCAGAUUUAAUUAAAUCCCUGUCUGAGUUGUAGUAAAAUUUUGACUUUCCCAAAAAAAAAAAAGAAAAAGGCAGGGCUGCAAAUGCUAACAAACUGCUAAGAAACCUUCCUUGUUGCACAUUUAGCUGAUCAAUCAGAAACUGUUUCACCAGAAAAAUAUCAAACCUUCUCACCGACGUCCUUCAAUAUGAGUUCAACAUAACGUCAAUCUGCAGCAGAAAUCUUGAGCUGCAUAAGGAAGUUAUAGGAGUUGACAGUCCAGCAUCGUGUAAGCAGUGAUAUCAAGUGGCACAAAGUGAAAACUACAGUCAUCCAUGCAGAUCGAAAUGUCUGCGGAGUUAAAGAAGGAGUUCGACAGUUUGCUUCAUUUCGGUCGAAGACCAGAGCCGCAUCAAAUCCGAUGUUAAAAGCUUUCACAUAACCCCCACAUCACAGUUAGGCACAGAGGGCAAAAAAAUAUCUAUAUUUAAAGUUUCCCAGGCACAAUGAGAAAAUCACAGAGGUAACAUUUAACCACCAGAUGGCAGCAAACACUGUGAUGAUUCUGAGAUGCAUGCGAGAAGACCAAUGGUUUUCAUUUCUUGUUUUAAUACCUGAUCAGUGGAACGUUUCAGGCUUAACUGUUGUCAGUGUGAUCCUAUUUAUACAUUUAUACAGCUGUUUACUCCCCCAGUAGCAGACAAUCAGGAAGGAAACUCCCAACCAGUCUGGAAUGAAGGCGGUAAAACGCCUUCAGGGGCCAGGAAAGCAUUAUGGAUGUUAGUAUGAGCUGCUGACUGGGAGAUUGCAUUGACUCGAUGAUUUUUCUCUCGGAGCUCCAUGAAUUUCCAGUUCUCAGCCGGAGAUUAUGCCUUCAUUCAGGGAUUUUCUGCACAGGAGCUGUACCAGAGCGUCAGUGGAAUUCUGCUGACUUUAGAACCAGCAGGAUUUAAAUCAUUGAUCGUUAUCAUCAAGGAAAUCCUUCAAUGGUUAGAUCUGCACUGACCAUGCACAACCCCCCAAACAAUCACCUGAUGAGGAACGAAUACAUGGAAGUGCCUGUGGAUGUUGGAAGUACUGAUGAAUGACGCCAAAUAUCUGUUUCAUGCUGCAGCUCAAAGAUUCGCAGCAUACAGACAGAGAUAGAAUGAAGUUUUAAAUCAUAACUAUUGAAGUCAUUGUCAACGUUUUUAAGUUUUUAGGAAGUUGGGCAAAAGGGAGUCAUGAGUCAUGACUAAAGGCAUCAAGGUGGCUGUAAGGAAGUCAUUCCUGCCACUGGGCUGUUGUAUAUACCUUGACUCUCAGUCAGAGAGCUGAAUCUAACCUCGCUGGGGAAAACGCUUCAGAAAGUUCUUCCUACAAAGCGGAGAGUGCCAGAUUAACAUUCUCCUGUUUCGUCUGUCCUUGAACAGAUUAACUGCUGUUGUCAAAUUGGCUAUAUUUCAGUGUUUCAUUGAUGAUUAGGUCUUCAGUUAUGUUUUAUCAAUAUGUAACAUAGGCUCUCAGCCUUUGGGCAGUGUUGGACUUUGGAGGUUAAUAAGGCUGCAGUUUUCAGACUUCUUGGAGAAAAAUGUUGCGAUGCUCUAAAACAAGGGGUCGCCAACCUUUUUGAAACAGAGAGCUACUUCAUUGGUAUUGUGUCAUACGAAGAGCUGACCUUUAACUUCUCUGAUCUCAGUCCAUCUACCACUGUAUGAUGAUUUAGAAACUGCUGGAAGGUUAGCAGUUUCUAAUGAUCAUAUUUAAAAUGUUUGUUUUUUCCUUUCUUGUGAUUCUGACCCAAAGUCAGAUCUGAUUAUCAGUUUUUUUUCCAUAUCAAAACACAUUUAACUUCAUGUUUAAAGUUUUUAAAAAUGUAUUCUUUAUCCCCUUUUUUGUGAGACGCCUGCCUUGUAUCUCUUCGGGAAAUACCGAUGCAAAAAGUACGUAAAUACAUGUUUCUUUGGGGCUUUUUAAUCACAACUUUUCAUAUUUUCAGUCUGUUAGAAACUUAAAGUUCAGAAAAAAUUGUUUAAAUUAAUAAUUUUUAAAAUGUAAUAAAUCAAUUAAAUUUGAAAUAAUGACAUUUAAUAAUAGGAAAAUAAAUAUUACAAUAAUACUAAACUUUUUGUAUAUAAGAAGUGUAUUUUAAAACUUAUUUAUUUAUUAAAGAUGAUAAGUUAAAUAAAUUAUACUUCCUAGGACAAAUAGGUUAAAAAGUUUCAUUGGUGAGAGAGAAAAAAACAAUAAUAAAAGUCGAGAUGUAUUGUGAGUAACAUCUGAGAGCGUUUUGACCUCUUCGAGAUGUGUCCUCAUUUCCAUUACAUUUCAUUGGAAGCCGAUUAUUAUUUAGGUUCUGGCAGCUUUCUGAGGGGAUUUUUAGCAGCAGAUGGAAAUACUGAAAAUGGCACGUUAUAAACCGCAAACUGAAGAAUGGCAACAUUUGCGGCUGGAUCAGUUUGUUUCUUGCAAAAAUAUUUGGGACAGAAUGUCUUGCAGCGAAAAAGAGCUGAUGGAAGAAGUUCCUCAAAGUUCCUCUGCAGCCAAACA